GGAAUUAGUGCCUUUAAAGAUGCCCUGGAGUUACUUCACCCACUCUCACCGCAUGGGCACCAUGAGAAGACACUGUCUUGUCACAUCUUAAUAAUGUUGACCUUACCAAACAACAAUUGGAUGGAGGACUUCCAAGCCUUCAGAAAUCAUACACUGGCACAGAGUAAACAUUACCAUUUGGGAAUGUGGUAACGGAAGAAUAAGAAGAAAAGAGGAAGAUGCCGAAGACCAAAACCCAACAAGGGGGGAAAUAUUCCUGCAGCUCCACGUCCAGGAUUUGAGAUGUCUGAUGAAGUUAUCUGGACCAAUAUUGGCUCAAGUAGUCCUACUUUUUCAGUUCUGUUACCUGCAACAUCUAUUGCCUCUCUUGGUCAGCCCCACUCCAUGCCAAGAGUAUUCAGUUACUGUCUCAAGCUUUUGGCCUCUCCAACAUCCUGGAGUCUUUAUGUAAACUUCACAGCAUCUCACAGCAGUCUUCAAGGACCUUUGACCCUGCCAGACACUACUUUCUGGCACUAUAGAGCAAAUCUCCGUGACUCCUCUAAAUCAUAUGUCUCUCAUCAUGCUUAUGAAACCAGUAGCAAUGUGGACAGUCAUACCAAGUUCUGUGGCCAACUUCGAAUAGUAUAAAACCUUGUACCUUAGACCAUAUCACCAGUGAUCUCUGUAUGCUCUGUGGACUGAAUCUACAAGAUCAAUUUUUUAGGAAGUUAUUUUUCAUCAGGGA
rnacentral:lncRNA from 1 species